GACGAACGCUGGCGGCGUGCCUAAUACAUGCCAGUCGUGCGGACCUUGUUGAAAGCUUGCUUUUAAAAGGUUAGCGGCGGACGGGUGAGUAACACGUGGGCAACCUGCCUGUAAGACUGGGAUAACGCCGGAAAACCGGGGCUAAUACCAGAUCGUUUUUUCCUCCGCAUGGAGGAAAAAGGAAAGGCGGCUUCGGCUGCCACUUACAGAUGGGCCCGCGGCGCAUUAGCUAGUUGGCGGGGUAAUGGCCCACCAAGGCAACGAUGCGUAGCCGACCUGAGAGGGUGAUCGGCCACAUUGGGACUGAGACACGGCCCAAACUCCUACGGGAGGCAGCAGUAGGGAAUCUUCCGCAAUGGACGAAAGUCUGACGGAGCAACGCCGCGUGAGUGAAGAAGGCCUUCGGGUCGUAAAACUCUGUUGCCGGGGAAGAACAAGUGCCGUUCGAACAGGGCGGCGCCUUGACGGUACCCGGCCAGAAAGCCACGGCUAACUACGUG
rnacentral:rRNA from 1 species